AGUGAACGCUGGCGGCAGGCCUAACACAUGCAAGUCGAACGGCAGCACAGGGGUAGCAAUACCCUGGGUGGCGAGUGGCGGACGGGUGAGGAGUACGUCGGAAUCUGCCUAUUUGUGGGGGAUAACGUAGGGAAACUUACGCUAAUACCGCAUACGCCCUACGGGGAAAGGCGGAGGACCUUCGGCGUUCGCGCAGAUAGAUGAGCCGACGUCGGA
rnacentral:rRNA from 1 species